rnacentral:rRNA from 1 species
GGAGGACCAUCUCCUAAGGCUAAAUACUCUCUAGUGACCGAUAGUGAACCAGUACCGUGAGGGAAAGGUGAAAAGCACCCCGGAAGGGGAGUGAAAUAGAACCUGAAACCGUGUGCUUACAAGUAGUCAGAGCCCGUUAAUGGGUGAUGGCGUGCCUUUUGUAGAAUGAACCGGCGAGUUACGAUUUGAUGCAAGGUUAAGCAGUAAAUGUGGAGCCGUAGCGAAAGCGAGUCUGAAUAGGGCGUUUAGUAUUUGGUCGUAGACCCGAAACCAGGUGAUCUACCCUUGGUCAGGUUGAAGUUCAGGUAACACUGAAUGGAGGACCGAACCGACUUACGUUGAAAAGUGAGCGGAUGAACUGAGGGUAGCGGAGAAAUUCCAAUCGAACCUGGAGAUAGCUGGUUCUCUCCGAAAUAGCUUUAGGGCUAGCCUCAAGUGAUGAUUAUUGGAGGUAGAGCACUGUUUGGACGAGGGGCCCCUCUCGGGUUACCGAAUUCAGACAAACUCCGAAUGCCAAUUAAUUUAACUUGGGAGUCAGAACAUGGGUGAUAAGGUCCGUGUUCGAAAGGGAAACAGCCCAGACCACCAGCUAAGGUCCCAAAAUAUAUGUUAAGUGGAAAAGGAUGUGGCGUUGCCCAGACAACUAGGAUGUUGGCUUAGAAGCAGCCAUCAUUUAAAGAGUGCGUAAUAGCUCACUAGUCGAGUGACACUGCGCCGAAAAUGUACCGGGGCUAAACAUAUUACCGAAGCUGUGGAUUGUCCUUUGGACAAUGGUAGGAGAGCGUUCUAAGGGCGUUGAAGCAUGAUCGUAAGGACAUGUGGAGCGCUUAGAAGUGAGAAUGCCGGUGUGAGUAGCGAAAGACGGGUGAGAAUCCCGUCCACCGAUUGACUAAGGUUUCCAGAGGAAGGCUCGUCCGCUCUGGGUUAGUCGGGUCCUAAGCUGAGGCCGACAGGCGUAGGCGAUGGAUAACAGGUUGAUAUUCCUGUACCACCUAUAAUCGUUUUAAUCGAUGGGGGGACGCAGUAGGAUAGGCGAAGCGUGCGAUUGGAUUGCACGUCUAAGCAGUAAGGCUGAGUAUUAGGCAAAUCCGGUACUCGUUAAGGCUGAGC